GACGAACGCUGGCGGCGUGCUUAACACAUGCAAGUCGAACGGCAAGGCCCUGCUUUUGUGGGGUGCUCGAGUGGCGAACGGGUGAGUAACACGUGAGUAACCUGCCCUUGACUUUGGGAUAACUUCAGGAAACUGGGGCUAAUACCGGAUAGGAGCUCCUGCUGCAUGGUGGGGGUUGGAAAGUUUCGGCGGUUGGGGAUGGACUCGCGGCUUAUCAGCUUGUUGGUGGGGUAGUGGCUUACCAAGGCUUUGACGGGUAGCCGGCCUGAGAGGGUGAACGGCCACAUUGGGACUGAGAUACGGCCCAGACUCCUACGGGAGGCAGCAGUGGGGAAUAUUGCACAAUGGGCGGAAGCCUGAGGCAGCAACGCCGCGUGCGGGAUGACGGCCUUCGGGUUGUAAACCGCUUUCGCCUGUGACGAAGCGUGAGUGACGGUAAUGGGUAAAGAAGCACCGGCUAACUACGUG
rnacentral:rRNA from 1 species